UCCCUGGAAAGGGGCGCCAGAG
rnacentral:snRNA from 1 species